rnacentral:rRNA from 1 species
CGGCCCAGUAAGUCCUCCGUUAAAUCCAACGGCUCAACCGUUGGGCUGCGGGGGAUACUGCUGGGCUAGGGGACGGGAGAGGCGAGGGGUAUUCCCGGGGUAGGGGUAAAAUCCACUGAUCCAUUGAAGACCACCAGUGGCGAAGGCGGUUUGCCAGAACGCGCUCGACGGUGAGGGAUGAAAGCUGGGGGAGCGAACCGGAUUAGAUACCCGGGUAGUCCCAGCCGUAAACGAUGUAGGCUCGGUGUUGGGCUGCCUCAGUGGCAGCCCAGUGCCGCAGGGAAGCCGUUAAGCCUACCGCCUGGGGA